GACGAACCGUGCGAACGUUGUUCGGAUUCACUGGGCAUAAAGCGCACGUAGGCGGUGUCGUAAGUCGGGUGUGAAAUCCCUCGGCCUAACCGAGGAACUGCGCCCGAUACUGCGAUGCUUGAGGACCAGAGGGGUGCAUGGAAUUUCCGGUGGAGCGGUGAAAUGCGUUGAUAUCGGAAGGAACUCCGGCGGCGAAAGCGAUGCACUGGCUGGUUUCUGACGCUGAGGUGCGAAAGCCAGGGGAGCAAACGGG
rnacentral:rRNA from 1 species